rnacentral:lncRNA from 1 species
GGGUGGGGGUGAGAUUCGUAGGAUAGGAGGAGCGAGGAGGGCUCUGUUGUUGUUUUUUCUUUUUUGUGCGGUACGUAUUUUUUCUACACUUGAGAACCACGGGAGCCGGGAUUAAAAGGCACGUGGGGACAGCGGUGGCAGAUUCGUAAUUUCAGUGAAGUGACGUACUGCGACGACCGUACCAUCACCACCGACUCCAAUUUAAUAUAUUGGUAUAGAUAUUUCCAUUAGAUUUGACUUGCAAAACUGAGAUCUCUCAUAUGUUUUGUAUUUAACAUCUGGCAUUUGAGACUAUGUAAAUUUAAAACGACAUACGUACAUAACGCGCAAACACUCCCCAACAAAACGAUGUGUGAAAUCGAGUAUGAUUAAUAACCAUAUGAACCGUAGGAAUAAUAAAUAUCAGUUAAAUCCCAUUUAAGAAAAUUCUGUAUUUUGCUUGUUCCUCGUCUUCUCAAACAAUUCACAUUUCGUCACGGAGCCGACGAUCCGAAGCGGUUUUCUCGAUGACUAUGCUUUUUUUACCCAAGUUUCCACAUGGCUUUCAAAGUGGUAUCCAGUUUCUUCCUUCUCAUCCUGCACGAACAUUUGGUCGAUCAGUUGGUGGGCAUAGCCUAGAUCCUAACUGAAUUCUCAAGGGCACCGACCUUUAGCCGUCUACAAAACCCAAGUCCUGG